rnacentral:tRNA from 1 species
GGCGGAAUAGCUCCAACGGCUAGAGCAGGACCCUUGUAAAGUUCAGGUUGUGAGUUCGAAUCUCACUUCCGCCUCCA